rnacentral:rRNA from 1 species
AGCGAACGUUUGCGGCGGGCCUAACACAUGCAAGUCGAACGCACUAGCAAUAGUGAGUGGCGCACGGGUGCGUAACACGUGGGUAAUCAACCCUUCAGCCUGGGAUAACGACUCGAAAGGGUCGCUAAUACCGGAUACGGCGCGAGAGGCUUCGGCUUCUCACGAGAAAGCCACGCAAGGGGCACUGAAGGACGAGCCUGCGGCCCAUCAGCUAGUUGGUGAGGUAAGAGCUCACCAAGGCUAAGACGGGUAGCUGGUCUGAGAGGAUGAUCAGCCACACUGGAAUUGAGACACGGUCCAGACUCCUACGGGAGGCAGCAGUGGGGAAUAUUGCGCAAUGGGCGAAAGCCUGACCCAGCCACGCCGCGUGAGUGAUGAAGGCCCUCGGGUCGUAAAGCUCUGUGGAGAGGGACGAAAACCCUGGUUUCAAAUAGGCUCCAGGCUUGACGGUACCUCUUUAGCAAGCACCGGCUAACUCUGUGCCAG